GAUGAACGCUGGCGGCGUGCCUAAUACAUGCAAGUCGAGCGAACAGACGAGGAGCUUGCUCCUCUGACGUUAGCGGCGGACGGGUGAGUAACACGUGGAUAACCUACCUAUAAGACUGGGAUCACUUCGGGAAACCGGAGCUAAUACCGGAUAAUAUAUUGAACCGCAUGGUUCAAUAGUGAAAGACGGUUUUGCUGUCACUUAUAGAUGGAUCCGCGCCGCAUUAGCUAGUUGGUAAGGUAACGGCUUACCAAGGCGACGAUGCGUAGCCGACCUGAGAGGGUGAUCGGCCACACUGGAACUGAGACACGGUCCAGACUCCUACGGGAGGCAGCAGUAGGGAAUCUUCCGCAAAGGGCGAAAGCCUGACGGAGCAACGCCGCGUGAGUGAUGAAGGUCUUCGGAUCGUAAAACUCUGUUAUUAGGGAAGAACAAAUGUGUAAGUAACUAUGCACGUCUUGACGGUACCUAAUCAGAAAGCCACGGCUAACUACGUG
rnacentral:rRNA from 1 species